GUUAUAUGGUCAAGUGAAGAAGCGCAUACGGUGGAUGCCUUGGCAGUCAGAGGCGAUGAAAGACGUGGUAGCCUGCGAUAAGCUUCGGGGAGUCGGCAAACAGACUUUGAUCCGGAGAUCUCUGAAUGGGGGAACCCAACCAGCACAAGCUGGUUAUCUUGCACUGAAUACAUAGGUGCCAGAAGCGAACCAGGGGAACUGAAACAUCUAAGUACCCUGAGGAAAAGAAAUCAACCGAGAUUCCCUUAGUAGUGGCGAGCGAACGGGGACUAGCCCUUAAGUGGCUUUGAGAUUAGCGGAACGCUCUGGAAAGUGCGGCCAUAGUGGGUGAUAGCCCUGUACGCGAAAAUCUCUUGGCCAUGAAAUCGAGUAGGACGGAGCACGAGAAACUUUGUCUGAAUAUGGGGGGACCAUCCUCCAAGGCUAAAUACUACUGACUGACCGAUAGUGAACCAGUACCGUGAGGGAAAGGCGAAAAGAACCCCGGAGAGGGGAGUGAAAUAGAUCCUGAAACCGUAUGCGUACAAGCAGUGGGAGCAGACUUCGUUCUGUGACUGCGUACCUUUUGUAUAAUGGGUCAGCGACUUAUUUUCAGUGGCGAGCUUAACCGAAUAGGGGAGGCGUAGCGAAAGCGAGUCUUAAUAGGGCGUCUAGUCGCUGGGAAUAGACCCGAAACCGGGCGAUCUAUCCAUGGGCAGGUUGAAGGUUAGGUAACACUGACUGGAGGACCGAACCGACUACCGUUGAAAAGUUAGCGGAUGACCUGUGGAUCGGAGUGAAAGGCUAAUCAAGCUCGGAGAUAGCUGGUUCUCCUCGAAAGCUAUUUAGGUAGCGCCUCAUGUAUCACUGUAGGGGGUAGAGCACUGUUUCGGCUAGGGGGUCAUCCCGACUUACCAAACCGAUGCAAACUCCGAAUACCUACAAGUGCCGAGCAUGGGAGACACACGGCGGGUGCUAACGUCCGUCGUGAAAAGGGAAACAACCCAGACCGUCAGCUAAGGUCCCAAAGUUAUGGUUAAGUGGGAAACGAUGUGGGAAGGCUUAGACAGCUAGGAGGUUGGCUUAGAAGCAGCCACCCUUUAAAGAAAGCGUAAUAGCUCACUAGUCGAGUCGGCCUGCGCGGAAGAUGUAACGGGGCUCAAACCAUACACCGAAGCUACGGGUAUCACGUAAGUGAUGCGGUAGAGGAGCGUUCUGUAAGCCUGUGAAGGUGAGUUGAGAAGCUUGCUGGAGGUAUCAGAAGUGCGAAUGCUGACAUGAGUAACGACAAUGGGUGUGAAAAACACCCACGCCGAAAGACCAAGGUUUCCUGCGCAACGUUAAUCGACGCAGGGUUAGUCGGUCCCUAAGGCGAGGCUGAAAAGCGUAGUCGAUGGAAAACAGGUUAAUAUUCCUGUACUUCUGGUUAUUGCGAUGGAGGGACGGAGAAGGCUAGGCCAGCUUGGCGUUGGUUGUCCAAGUUUAAGGUGGUAGGCUGAAAUCUUAGGUAAAUCCGGGGUUUCAAGGCCGAGAGCUGAUGACGAGUUACCCUCUGGGUGACGAAGUGGUUGAUGCCAUGCUUCCAAGAAAAGCUUCUAAGCUUCAGAUAACCAGGAACCGUACCCCAAACCGACACAGGUGGUUGGGUAGAGAAUACCAAGGCGCUUGAGAGAACUCGGGUGAAGGAACUAGGCAAAAUGGCACCGUAACUUCGGGAGAAGGUGCGCCGGUGAGGGUCAAGCACUUGCUGCGUAAGCCCACGCCGGUCGAAGAUACCAGGCCGCUGCGACUGUUUAUUAAAAACACAGCACUCUGCAAACACGAAAGUGGACGUAUAGGGUGUGACGCCUGCCCGGUGCCGGAAGGUUAAUUGAUGGGGUUAGCGCAAGCGAAGCUCUUGAUCGAAGCCCCGGUAAAC
rnacentral:rRNA from 1 species